rnacentral:lncRNA from 1 species
UCUCUGGACAUCCUAAGGGGAGCCGUGUCUUCUGCAGCUAUUUGGGGUCUGAAGCCAUUGCUCUGCGUAGGUGCUGCUCAGAGGAUUCCGGUUGCUUCCUUGGGCUGGGUGCUCAUGUAUCCUAGGGGUGUGAUGUUUCCUGUUCCUCUGUCAUUGUGUGACUCCUACGGUGGAAAAAUUAACUAUAGGCAUGGAGGCACACUGGAGAUGUGAAGGCGAGGCUCCUGGCUUUGUGUUGAUGUUGGAUCCUGUUGCUUCCGCUGUCUCUCGCAGGCGUUCGCCUCAGAUGCCCCAGCACCAAGGAGCCCUUGGGUGGGAAUGGUGCAAGGUACAGCCCAGAGGCACACACUCGGCCUCAGGGACAUGCUCCACAGGAAGAAUUCCAGCCCAGAGCUCACUCCAUCUGCCACACAAUGGGCCGUCCACCACCUGACCCCUGGUAGUGAGGACCAACACCAGGCAAAGCAGUUGCCAUCACGUGUGGCCAGUUUAUCAAGCCCUCUGAGGUCACCCUCGCUCUUGCUCGUUGGUUUUCCUCCUUGGAUUCAACUUUCUGUUAUUGCUUUUGUUCAGAAAGCCCUUACUAAAGACGUGGCCAUGUUCGGUGUUUGAGCAGAAUAUCUCUGCUUUGAAAUUGCAGUUCGAUUCCACGCUUUUCUUACGACAUUCAUUUACACAGAAAGGAAACGUACAGAUGCAUAUGUAUAUGUAGCAGGAAGAAAAUUUGCUAUUUUGAGGCUUGACAGAAAAGAG